UAAAAAAGAUUUAUUUUAAAACUUCAUGGAAACUUUGCUUUUUAUUCAGUUAUAUCCAGUAUCUCAUCUCAAUUUUGGAAAAUCCUAAAGAAGAUUUAACCGGUCAGAGUAAGCUGCUCUGCAAGCAAAAUCUAAACAGGUCCCUGUGAAGGUAGCAAUCUAUUAUGGUUCUCCAUCCAACAUACAGGAACCAAGAAGCCUGUGCAACUGGGAGCCUGUGCAGUGCAAACUCAGAGUGAAAGCAGUUCCUCAGCUGCUGGUACCUUGUGUCAGAUGCCUCUUCUCGCUGCUCCUCUUCAGAUUGGCCUCUUGAGGUAUGGGG